GUAUAAUCCAAGUCAUAACCUGCUAAUAAUGACUUUGAGAUCAGGUGUAACGUAUAAUCCAAGUCAUAACCUGCGAAUAAUGACUUUGAGACCAGGUGUAACGUAUAAUCCAGUCAUAACCUGCUAAUAAUGACUUUGAGACCAGGUGUAACGUAUAAUCCAAUCAUAACCUGCUAAUAAUGACUUUGAGACCAGGUAUAACGUAUAAUCCAAGUCAUAACCUGCUAAUAAUGACUUUGAGACCAGGUGUAACGUAUAAUCCAAGUCAUAACCUGCUAAUAAUGACUUUGAGACCAGGUGUAACGUAUAAUCCAAGUCAUAACCUGCUAAUAAUGACUUUGAGACCAGGUGUAACGUAUAAUCCAAGUCAUAACCUGCUAAUAAUGACUUUGAGACCAGGUGUAACGUAUAAUCCAAGUCAUAACCUGCUAAUAAUGACUUUGAGAUCAGGUGUAACGUAUAAUCCAAGUCAUAACCUGGUAAUAAUGACUUUGAGACCAGGUAUAACGUAUAAUC